rnacentral:sRNA from 1 species
CCGUUUCAAUUUGCUGCGGACAAAUAAAAUGAAUAUGCGAAUCAAUGGCUCCUGCUGUUACAAUCUUUCCUUCUCCGGCAAUAACCUCAGUACUUGCGCCAACAAUCAUAUUCGGGUGCACGCCGUCCAUAAUGUCUGGAUUCCCGGCUUUGCCGAUGCCAACGAUAAAUCCAUCCUUUAAGCCGAUAUCCGCUUUCACAAUGCCGGAAUGAUCGAUAAUAACGGCAUUCGUAAUCAAUGUAUCCAGCACACCCUCAUCACGCAGCGCGCCGCUCGACUGCCCCAUGCCAUCGCGU